rnacentral:RNase_P_RNA from 1 species
CACGCAGAUUGCCUUAUCGUUCCGAUAAUUAUCGGGAAGGAAAGUCCGAACACCAUAGUGCAAUCAUAGUGGUUAACAGCCAUCCAUCGAAAGGUGAGGAAAAGUGCAACAGAAAGUAUGUACAGGUAAUGCUGUAGUGAAAUCAGGUAAACUCUAUGUGGUGCAAUGUCAUGUAUACCAACGCUCGAGGGCUGCACGUCCGAUUGUUGGAGGGUAGACAGCUAAAGUUUGCUGGUAACAGUAAAUUCAGAUAAAUGAUAAGGGUUAAGACCUUUGUGGUUUUAAUACAGAAUUCGGCUUAUAGAUUUGCUUGUCAU